GACGAAGGGGGCGAGCGUUAUCCGGAAUAACUGGGCGUAAAGGGUUCGUAGGCGGUCUUUUUUGUGAAAGGUGAAAUCUGGGAGCUCAACUCCCAUAUGCUUUUUAAACGUGAAGACUUUGAGUAGGAAAGGAGAUAGCAGAAUUUCACAUGGAGGGGUGAUAUCCGUAGAGAUGUGAAAGAAUUCCAGUGGCGAAGGCGGCUAUCUAGUUCCUAACUGACGCUGAGGAACGAAAGCAUGGGGAGCAAACAGG
rnacentral:rRNA from 1 species